UAGUCGCUGCAGUCGCACGUUCCGCCAUUGCUGUUAUGUGCUCCCAUGUAUUUCGUAUUGUGCGCGGAUGGUGAAAGUACCGAAUGUUAUAACAAAUUGUCUCGUGACAAGAGUGACUGUAUCGUGUAUCGAAAUCGUGCUCGUUCGUGAUACGCAGUACGUUUGAUGACCUUGUCGCGUUGCCGCAUGUCACGGUUUCGAGAAUAUUCGCUCGAGGAUGUUUUCUCUACGUACGUAUUUGUCCCAAGUGCCUCAUCUUCGCAUUCCAAUAUAUCGUGUUAAUGAUUCGUGAGUAGACGUCGAUUGAUAUUCGUUAAUUCAAUUAGAUACAAAAACCUGGUCGUCUAAUCUCGCCACCGUUCAGGUACUUCAUUCAGCGUGUGUGAUAUCAAAUGCCGGCUGCUCUUCUUCCGAUAUCGUUACUUGCUUCUGAUCGGGCGUUCCGCGUUUUUCGAGUGUAAAUUGUGCAUGGAUACGGUGUCUAAAAUGACGAGUUUAGUAACAAACGAUUGUCUCGACACGAAAGCAUAGUGUCGAAAUAAUCGUAUUUGUAGCACGCUCCUUCUCGCGACCUGUUGCGUCGAGACAUGUUACUUUCUCGUACAUUUCUCGUUUCGUUCGCCUUCGUGUUCGUAUAUGAUAUUUAAGCAAUAUCGGGAAUGUUAAAUAAAAAAUCGGGCGGUUAUUAACGUGUGAUUCAAGAAGAACAACAGAACGAGAUGCCAGCAGAAGACGACAGCCAUGGAGUAACUCGAAUUGCGGAAAGCGAAUGCAGUAACAGAAACAGUGGCAGCAACAAUUGGUCACUCGGGUGAGAAUUUGGAUAUUAUUGUAUCUGGAUCGUGGACAGCGUAACACCACCGUUUUCAAAGUUGGUAGCAGUGGAUCACCAGUCGCUCCCGAGUACCGGCACGGUCGCGUCCACCUAUUCGUUAUUGAUCGUGGAUCGAGAAGGAAAUUCACUGAUGAGAGACUCGAGCGGCCCCAGGAACGAGCCCGAGGAUCUUCCCAAGGAUCCUCCGAUGCCGUAGAAGUGGUCGUGGACGGCGCUCUCGUGUCCUGGUGAAACGAAACGGACGCCGCGGAAUGCCGCGUUUCAGGCAUUGCGUCGCAAGUGUCGCGUCGUGUGUGUGUGUGUGAGAGAGAGAGAGAGAGAGAGAAAUGUGUUUCGACGAGUAAAGGACAGAAAAGGAUGCAUCGAAGGUGCGUGACGAAAAGUGCGUAUCGAAAACACGAAAGAUGAAAGAGGUAGUGUGGUGAAAAGUACUUGGAAGUGCCUCUAAGGACGGAGUAACGACUCCGCGAAAAUUCCGAGGUAUCUACGUGACGCGCGGCGAGUACUAAUGGCGGGCGGGGAGGGGGGCAACGUCUUUUCCCGGCUAAUUUCCGAGGAUCUUCCGAUGCCGUGAAAGUGGCCGCGGACGGCGAUCGCGUCCCGACGAAACGAAACGGGCGUCGCGGAGUGUCGCGUUUUGGCGGGAAGUGUUGUGUGCGCGAGAUGAGGUGUUUCGACACGUAGAAAAGAAAGGACGCGUGUCGAAGGUGCGUGGCGAAAAGCGCAUAUCGAAAGUGCACGAAGUGAGAAAAAUGGUGUGUGAUGUGAAAAGUGCUUGCAAGCGCCUGUAAUGGAAUAACGACUUCGAGAAAAUUCCAAGGAUGUCUACGCGGACACGCGGCGAGUAAUGGGAGCGAACGAGGGGAGCAACGCAUUUUUUUCCGAUGUCGUGGUCGUCGAAAAAUUUACAGGAUCCGAGAACAGGAGGCGGAGGCUUGGGAGAGGUACCUGGUCUCGGCGGAACAACCUUGAGGUACGUCCGCUGAAUUCUGCUUCGGAGAAAGAUUUUCGACAUCUUUCUUUCUACUGGCACAUUUCCUAAUGGCAUUGAUGGGGGCUAAGCUUAUGC
rnacentral:lncRNA from 13 species